CAAAAGCCCUGAGAUCAUGACCUGAGCCAAGUCAGACUGGGCUACCCCGGUGCCUCUCAUAACAAUUCUUUGAAAGGAAGGAGGAAGUUACUAGCCAGCAAGAACUGGCUAUUUUCAGGCACAGAGGAAGGUGUUGGGAAUAUGCAGUAAGUACUCUCUUUCCCUGGCUCUGUUUUAUAACCCCUUCUUCCUCUCUUUGAAACUCUUUCUUUGGAUUAAUUAGUCCAAUGUUCUCUUGAGUUUCCUCUUAUCUUUCUAGUCCUUCUCAGUCUCCUUUGCUAGUUCUACUCCCUUUUGUCCAUUAGAACUUGAAUCCUUUUGAAAAGGCAAAAGCUUGCAGCGUCCAAAAUGAUUUUUUUUUUUUAUGGAACUUAACUCAGAACAUUAUUUUUGCCAUGUGCAAAACAGUUUACUUUUAGGUUAUUCCCAAUGAAAGUUAGAAUUGGAAAGAAAGGAAAAGGAACCAGAAGCGUGGUAGGUUAAAAAUGUGCUGAGAUAGCUCCUCACAAUGUGAAAAUAAAACUGGCUUCUUAACAAAUGGCAGAAAUGUCCUAGUGCUUUUACUAAUCCAUUUAAAAUCCGGUAAAAAUAGGGCACCUGGGGGGCUCAGUCAGUUAAGCGACUAACUCUUGAAUUCGGCUCAGGUCAUGAUCCCAGGGUCGUGGGAUGAGUCCCUUGUUGGGUUCUAUGCUGAGUAUGGAGCCUGCUUGAGAUUCUGUCUCUUCCUCUCUCUCUGCCACUUCCCCACUCACAUCUGUCUCAAAAUAAAUAAAUAAACUUGAAAAAAUAAAUUAAAAAUAAAAUCUGCUUAAACCUAUUUCUAAUUGCAUUCAAAAACAUUUUUGGCUACAUCAAAUUAGUUAAUACAAUUCAGAAUAAUAAUAACCAUUUGUAAAUAAAAUUAGGAACUCUCAUUGGAAAUGCUAAGAACUACCUGAAUGUGUGCAAGGAGUAGACCAUUAUCUCCCUGCCAAGUCUGUAUGUCCAUGUUGUUAUUGAUAUAAAGGGCAGUUCUAAUAUCCAUAUAUAUAUUAACUCUUUAAAUUUCAUUGGAAAUGAAUUUUAUUGUGUACCUUUCAUGGACCACUUAGCUAGUGUGCUUAACUUUUUAGAGUGAUUGUGGGGAUGGGGGACAGGAACAAAGAUGUGUGUCAGUUGGGGGGUGGGGUUGGGCAGGUAGUGGUUAUAGCUAUGGCCAAGAAGCGUUCUCAGAUCUUGACCAGUUCUUUAAAAAAGGUAUGUUAUGUUUUCAUCAGGAAGAGGAGAAGUAGCAUAAAUAAUUUAGGGAACCCUACAUCAAUACUUUAAAAGGAAUUAGAACACACCCUUCUAAUUAUCAUUGAAUCUGCUUUUAUAAUGAAAAAUAAUAACUUUUUCCCUCAUGAUGAAAGUAAUCCAUAUUCAUUUAUUUAAUUUAGAAAAUAUAGACAAGCAAAUGGAAGAAAUCACACCUGUAAUCCCAUCACCCACAGAUAUACUUUCUAUAUUCUUCCAUUCAUUUCGUACCAAAUGGUGUCAUAGUAUACACCCCAUUUGUAACUUGUUUCUUUCACAGAGCAAUAUUGUUACUAUCCUUUGACAAAAAUCUCUAAAUCUAAAUCUAUCAAUAUCUAAAGCAUGAAAUGGGUAAUCCUCAAAAUUCUAGUUUUUAUUACCAUGGAACUAAUAAACUUAACUUUCAAGUUAAGUUUACAGGCUACAGAUGUGUUCACAUAGUCAUAAUAUGUUUUUGUAAAAUUUGCGGAAAUAAGAUAUUAAAAAAAUUUUUUUCUUAAAGAGAACCCUUCCCAAUUUUACAAGUGUGAGGUCUCACAAAACCUGCAUCAAUCCCUGGUAGUACAUCCUUUCCUUUCCCACUUCCAUUAAUUCAGCAAAUAUUUUUGAGUAUUUAUUAUGGGCCACACACUGUUCUAGGUACUUGAGACACAUCAAUGGACAAAACUGAAAGAGACUUACUCUGCAGUGAGGAGAGGGAGGCAGCGGACACAAGGAAGUAAUUAUGUUGUAUGCUGUCCAGUGGUAUUUGCUGUGGAGAAACAGCAGGGAAGAGGGUAAAGGAGAUUACUAUUUUGGCAAAGAGAGGAGGUCUGGUAAAAUUAAACAAGAUGGGUGAAGCCUCAUAGAAAAGAGAACAUUUGUGCCAAGACAGGGAGCCCAUUUUUUUGAGAGCAUUUAUACAUCCUUCUCAUUAUUAUUUCAGUGUAUACAAAUAUUGAAUCAUUGUGCUGUAUACCUGAACUAGUAUAAUGUUAGAUGUCAAUUACACCUCACUAAGAAAAAACUCACAGCAUUUUAAAGUUUUAUCUCUAACCAGGAUUAAAUACAUAUAAACUUUUAUUUUUAACCAGGAUUAAAUACGUUACGUACAUAGGUGCAUAUGAACAUAUACCUAUACAUAGUUUAAAAUUUUGUUUUAAAUAUAGUUUUGCUUGGUAACAACUUAAUAAUUCUACUAACAUGAAAAUAAUAGAUUUUAAAUGGAAAUGAGAGGAAUGGCUGUCCUGAGUUCUUGACCCUUUCACAAUGAUUUACAAGAAAUUACAUAACCUUGAUUUUAAAAAUCAUAAUUUAAGGGGCGCUUGGGUGACUCAGUCAGUUAAGCAUCCAACUCUUGAUUUCAGCUCAGGUCAUGAUCUCACAGUCAUGGGAUUGAGGCCUGCAUCGGGAUCUGUGCUGAUAGCAUGAAGGCUGCUUGGAAUUCUCCCUCUCUCUUUCUCUCUCUCUCUCUUUGCCCCUCCCCUGCUCAUGUUCUCUCUCUCUGUCUCUCUCAAAAUAAAAUAGAUUAAAAUAAAAAUUUUUUAAAAUCACAAUUUAAGGCUUGUCUAGCACAGGCAGCCCACAGAGAGUAGAAUCUGAUACUUUUUACAACUGCUAAAGUACACAUCUGAAUGAUACAGAAGUUCCCAAAUUUAAAGGGCACUGCUGUACAUGGUGGAAAAAAACCUCUUGUCAACAGAAUGCAAUUUAUACUAACCCUAAAAUUUGAUGGCACUUUUGAUUCUGCCUAUUUUUAAAAGGCAUAUAUUUAUGUAUAGAUUAUACAUAAGAAGCCUAGAAUGAUAUGCAGGAAAAUGUCAACAGUACUUAUUUUUGUGCUUAUUGGUAGCGAGCUUAUUUUGUGACUAUCUACACCUUUUGACUUUUCCACAAUGUGCACAUGUUACUUGAAUAAAAACAUAAUUUUUAUGUUUUCCAUGCUUCCAUAUUUGACUUUUUUUCUUUUUAAUUUUUUAAAUUUACAUCCAAGUUAGUUGGCAUAUAGUGUACAAAGAUUUCAGGGGGAGAUUCCUUAAUGCCCCUUACCAUUUAGCCCAUCCCCCUUCCCACAACCUCUCCGGUAACCCUCUGUUUUUUCCCCAUAUUUAAGAGUCUCUUAUGUUUUGUUUCCCUCCCUGUUUUUAUAUUAUUUUUGCUUCCCUUCCUUUGUGUUCAUCUGUUCUGUGUCUUAAAGUCCUCAUAUGAGUGAAGUCAUAUGAUAUUUGUCUUUCUCUGACUAAAUUCGCUUAGCAUAAUAUCCUCUAGUUCCAUCCAUGUAGUUGCAAAUGGCAAGAUUUCAUUCUUUUUGAUUGCCGAGUAAUACUCCAUUGUGUGUGUGUGUGUGUGUGUGUGUGUGUGUGUGUGGUGUGUGGUGUGUGUGUGUAUACGUGUAUACCACAUCUUCUUUAUCCAUUUAUCUAUCGAUGGACAUUUGGGUUCUUUCCAUACUUUGGCUAUUGUUGAUAGUGCUGCUAUAAACAUUGGGGUGCAUGUGUGCCUUUGAAACAACACUCCUGUAUCCCUUGUGCAGUUACUGGGUCAUAGGGUAGUUCUAUUUUUAAUUUUUUGAGGAACCUCUGUACUGUUUUCCAGAGUGGCUGCACCAGCUUGCAUUCCCGCUAAUAAUGCAAAAGAGAUCCUUUUUCUCUGCAUCCUUGCCAACAUCUGUUGUUGCCUGAGUUGUUAAUGUUAGCUGUUCUGACAGGUGUGAUGUAGUAUCUCAUUGUGGUUUUGAUUUAUAUUUCCCUGAUGAUGAGUGAUGUUGAGCAUUUUUUUCAUGUGUUGGUUAACCAUCUGGAUGUCUUGUUUGGAGAAGUGUCUAUUCAUGUCUUUUGCCCAUUUCUUCCCUGGAUUAUUUGGGUUUUUCUGGGUGUUGAGUUUGAUAAGUUCUUUAUAGAUUUUGGACACUAACCCUUUAGCAGAUAUGUCAUUUGCAAAUACUUCUCCCAUUCUCUCAGUUGCCUUUUAGUUUUGCUGAUUGUUUCCUUCGCUGUGCAGAAGCUUUUUAUUCUGAUGAGGUCCCAGUAGUUCAUUUUUGCUUUUGUUUCCCUUGCCUCUGGAGAUGUGUUAAGUAAGAAGUUGCUGUGGCCAAGAUCAAAGAGGUUUUGCCUGCUUUCUCCUCGAGGAUUCUGAUCGUUUCCUGUCUUACGUUUAGGUCUUUCAUCCAUUUUGAGUUUAUUUUUGUGUAUGGUGUAAGAAAGUGGUCCAGGUUCAUUUUUCUGCAUGUUGCUGUCCAGUUUUCCCACCACCACUUGCUGAAAAGAGUGUCUUUAUUCCACUGGAUAUUCUUUUCUGCUUUGUUAAAGAUUAGUUGGCUAUACGUUUGUGGGCCCAUUUCCGGGUUCUCUAUUCACUUCCACUGAUCUGAGUGUCUGUUUCUGUGCCAGUACCAUACUGUCUUGAUGAUUACAACUUUGUAAUAAAGCUUGAAGUUCGGGAAUGUGAUGCCUCCUGCUUUGGUUUUCUUUUUCAAGAUUGCUUUGCCUAUUCAGGGUCUUUUCUGGUUCCAUACAAAUUUUAGGAUUGUUUGUUCUAGCUCUGUGAAGAAUGUUGGUGUUAUUUUGAUAGGGAUUACAUUCAAUAUGUAGAUUGCUUUGGGUAGUAUUGACAUUUUAAUAAUAUUUGUUCUUCCAAUCAGGAAGCAUGGAAUAUUUUUCCUUUUUUGUGUGUGUCUUCUUCAAUUUCUUUCAUAAGCUUUCUAUAGUUUUCAGUCUAUAGAUUUUUCACCUUUUUGGUUAGAUUUAUUCCUAGGUGUUUUAUGGGUUUUGGUUCAGUUGUAAAUUGGAUCAAUUCCUUGAUUUCUCUUUCUGUUGCUUCAUUGUUGGUGUAUAGGAAUGCAACCGAUUUCUGUGCAUUGAUUUUAUAUCCUGCAACUUUGCUGAAUUCAUAAGUUCUAGCAGUUUUUUGGUGGAAUCUUUUGGGUAUUCUAUAUAGAGUAUCACGUCAUCUGCAAAGAGUGAAAGUCUGACCUCCUCCUGGCUGAUUUGGAUGUCUUUUAUUUCUUUGUGUUGUCUGAUUGCUGAGGCUAAGACCUCCAAGCUAUGUUGAAUAACAGUGGCAAGAGUGGACAUCCCUGUCUUGUUUCUGACCUUAGGGGAAAGCUCUCAGGUUUUCCCCAUUGAGAAUGAUAUUAGCAUUGGGUCUUUCGUAUAUGGCUUUUAUGCUCUUGAGGUAUGAUCCUUCUAUCCCUACUUUCUUAAGGGUUUUUAUCAAGAAAGGAUGCUGUAUUUUGUGAAAUGCUUUCUCUGCAUCUAUUGAGAGGAUCAUGUGGUUCUUGUAUUUUCUUUUAUUGAUGUGAUAAAUCAUAUUGAUUUUUUUGUAGAUAUUGAACCAGGCCUGCAUCCCAGGUAUAAAUGCCACUUGGUUGUGAUGAAUAAUUUUUUUAAUGUAUUGUUGGAUCCGGUUGGCUAAUGUCUUGCUGAGGAUUUUUGCAUCCAUGUUCAUCAGAGAAAUUGUCUAUAUUUCUCCUUUUUAGUGGGGUCUUUGUCUGGUUUUGGACUCAUGGUAAUGCUGGCUUCAUAGAAAGAGUUUGGAAGUUUUCCUUCCAGUUCUAUUUUUUUGGAAUAGCUUCAACAGAAUAGGUGUUAACUCUUCUUAAAUGUUUGGUAGAAUUCCCCUGGAGAGCCAUCUGGCCCUGGACUCUUGAUUUUUGGGAGAUUUUUGAUUACUAAUUCAAUUUUUUACUGGUUAUGAGUCUGUUAAAAAUUUCUAUUUCUUUCUGUUUCAGUUUUGGUAAUUUAUAUAUUUCUGGGAAUUUGUCCCAUUUCUUCCAGAAUACCCAUUUUAUUGGUGUAUAAUUGCUCAUAAUAUUCUCUUAUUAUUGUUUUCAUUUUUGCUGUGUUGGUUGUGAUCUCUUCUCUUCACUCUUGAUUUUAUUUAUUUGGGUCCUUUCCUUUUUCUUUUUGAUCAAACUGACUAGUGGUUUAUCUAUUUUGUUAAUUCUUUCAAAGAACCAGCUUCUGGUUUCAUUGAUCUGUUCUCCUGUUUUUUUUUUGUUUGUUUGUUUUGUUUUGUUUUGUUUUGUUUUUGGUUUCAAUAGCAUUAAUUUCUGCUCUAAUCUUUAUUAUUUCCUGUUUUCUGCUGGUUUUGGGUUUUAUUUGAUGCUCUUUUUCCAGCUCUUUGAGGUGUAAGGUUAGGUUGUGUAUCUGAGACCUUUCUUCCUUCUUUAGGAAGGCCUAGAUUCCUAUAUACUUCCCUCUUAUGAACGCCUUUGCUGUGUCCCAGAGGUUUUGGGCUGUGGUGUUUUCAUUUUCAUUGGCAUCCGUGUACUUUUUAAUUUCCUCUUUAGCUUCUUGGUUAGCCCAUUCAUUCUUUAGUAGGAUGUUCUUUAGUCUCCAAGUAUUUGUUACCUUUCUAAAUUUUUUCAUGUGGUUGAUUUCAAGUUUCAUAGCGUUGUGGUCUGAAAAUACGUAUGGUAUGAUCUUGAUCUUUUUGUAGUUGUUGAGGGCUGAUUUGUGUCCCAGUAUGUGGUCUAUUCUGGAGAAUGUUUCAUGUGCACUGAAGAAGAAUGUAUAUUCCGCUGCUUUAGGUUGAAAUGUUCUGAAUAUAUCUGUGAAGUCCAUCUGGUCCAGCAUGUCAUUCAAAGCCACUCUUUCCUUGUUGAUUUUCUGCUUAGAUGAUCUGUCCAUUGUUGUAAGUGGGGGUGUGGAAGUCCCUUCUAUUAUGGUAUUAUUAUUAAUGAGUUUCUUUAUGUUUGUGAUUCAUUGAUUUAUAUAUUUUUUUGCUCCACAUUUGGAGCAUAAAUGUUUACAAUUGUUAGGUCUUCUUGGUGGAUAAACCCCUUAAUUAUGACAUAAUGCUCUUCUUCAUCCAUUGUUACAGUCUUUAUUUUAAAGUCUAGAUUGUCUGAUGUAAGUAUGGCUACUCCAGCUUUCUUUUGUCGACAAUUAGCAUGAUAGAUGGUUCUCCAUCCUCUUACUUUCAACCUGAAGGUGUCUUUAGGUCUAAAGUGGGUCUCUUGUAAACAGCAUAUAGAUGGAUCUUGUUUUCUUAUCCAUUCUGUUACCCUUUGUCUUUUGAUAGGAGCAUUUAGUCCAUUGACAUUUAGAGUGAGUACUGAAAGAUAUAAAUUUAUUGCCAUUAUGUUGCUUGUAGAGUUGGAGUUUCUGGUGGUGUUCUCUGGUCCUUUCUAGUCUUUGUUGCUUUUGGUACUUAUGUAUGUAUGUAUGUAUGUAUGUAUGUAUGUAUUCUUUUCUCCCCUCAGAGCGUCCCCCUUAAAAUUUCUUACAGAGCUGGCUUAGUGGUUAUGAACUCCUUUAAUUUUUGUUUGUUUGGGAAACUUUUAAUCUCUCCUUCUAUUUUGAAUGACAGCCUUGCUGGAUAAAGAAUUCUUGGCUGCAUAUUUUUCUGAUUCAGCACAUUGAAUAUAUCCUGCCACUCCUUUCUGGCCUGCCAAGUUUCUGUGGAUAGGUCUGCUGCAAACCUGAUCUGUCUUCCCUUGUAGGUUAAGGACUUUUUUUCCCUUGCUGCUUUCAUGAUUCUCUCCUUGCCUGAGUAUUUUGUGAAUUUGACUAUGAUAUGCCUUGUUGAUGGUCGAUGUUUGUUGAAUUUUUAUGGGAGUCCUCUCUACUUCCUGGAUUUUGAUGUCUGUGUCUUUCCCCAGGUUAGGAAAGUUUUCUGCUAUGAUUUGUUCAUGUAACACUUCUACCCCUUUUGCUCUCUCUUCAUCUUCUGGGACCCCUAUGAAUCUGAUGUUGUUCCUUUUUAAUGAGUCACUGAUUUCUCUAAUUCUUAAAUCGUACUCUUUUGCCUUAGUCUCCCUCUUUUUUUCUGCUUCCUUUUUCUCCAUAAAUUUGUCCUCUAUAUCACUGAUUUGCUGCUGUGUCUCAUCCAUCUUUGCCACUGUGGCAUCCAUUCGAAAUUGCAGCUCAGUUAUAGCAAUUUAAAAUUUCAUCCGGCCUAGCUUUUACUUCUUUUUUCUCUACAGAGAGGGAUUCUAAUCUAUUUCUGACUCCAGCUAGUGUUCUAUUAUCGUGAUUCUAAAUCUGGUUCAGACAUCUUACUUGUAUCUGUGUUGGUUAAGUUCCUGGCUGUUGUUUCUUCCUACUCUUUCUUUCGAGGUGAAUUCCUUCAUUUUGUCAUUUUUAAAAAAAAAUUUUUAAUGUUUAUUUAUUUUUGGAGAGAGACACAGAGUGUGAGUGGGGGAGGGGCAGAGAGAGAGGGAGACACAGAAUCGGAAGCAGGCUCCGGGCUCUGAGCUAUCAGCGCAGAGCCCGAUGCGGGGCUCGAACCCACGAACUGUGAGAUCAUGACCUGAGCCGAAGUCGGACACCCAACUGACUGAGCCACCCAGGCAUCCCUCGUUUUGUCAUUUUGAAGGAAGAAAAGGAAUUAAUGAGGUAAAAAAAUUUAAAACAAUUAAAAUUUAAAAAAUUAAAAAAUUUUAAAAAACAUACACACAUACACACAAAUCAAAUAAAUGAUGUUAGAUCUUAGGUGUGUUUUGGUCUGGAUGUUGAAAGGGGCUUGAUAGAUUAGAGAAAAUGGGGGGGGGAAAGGAAACCGUUUGAAAAUUUGAAAAAAUGAAUACAAGUACACUGAAAUUAUUGAAGUCAAAUAGAAUUUGAAAAAUUUACAAAAAAGUAAAAAAAUAUAGUUGAAAGAAAUUUUAAAAUAUUUUAAUAAAAGUUGAAAAUAAAAAUAAAUAUUUUCUUUCUGUAUUCAAGAAAAAGAAAAAAGGAAAAGAGAAAAAAAAGAAAAUUGAAUAGAUGGACCAGCGAACAGACUGAAAUAUGAUUGAAAUUACUUUGUUUUCCCCUAGAAGUCAAACUAUGAAGUACUUUAUAGUCCGUAAACUCAGCAGGCAGAGACUUGUGUUCCUGAAGAGCGAAGUUGGUCCAGUUGGGCGGGGCUUAGUGUAAUGGCUCCAUUCUCCACUAGAUGGCACUGCUUAGCUUACUGGGGUGGAUUGUUGUGGCGCUCGUAUGUGCAUAUGCGCAUGCGUGGGAGUGGUGAAAAUGGUGUCACCCAGCUACCCAGUCUCUAGUAUCGGAGCUCUGUUUUCCCCAAUUAUCAAUCACGCACCUGUCCUUUGUCUCUGGCUUCCAUCCACUUCCUGCUUUCACACUGUCUGUGAUCCAGCCCCAGGCAGCAUCUCCCUCCUGAGUUUUAUCUCAGAUGCGGCUGUUUUUCCCGACCCCUUACUUCUGAGGGACUGUGGCUUUGACCCGUUCUGCCCCUCUGCCGGAGGGUCUCACCGAGCAAUGCCUGGGUGCUGGCUGCACCCAGGAAUGUUCGCAGGACUGUGCUGCUGCCGAUGCCCAGAGACUGCGGCUGGGUUCCAGUCAACCCCAGAAAAAGUUCAAGCGAUCAUGUAGCAGCAGUGUUUCAGGGAUUAUGGAAAAUCAUAAUACACAUCUGGCACUAGGUUUCACCCUUUAGGACUUUGUUCCAGCACCAGUGAAUGUGGUUGUUUUCCCGGGUCCACUGGGGCCUUUGCCUGUGGGAGAGCCACACAGCCUCUACCAGGUGUCCUCCCAGCAGGGGAACUGGCUCUCCCUGUGUGGCCCAAAGACCUCUGGACCUCACUUUGCUCCUGAGGAUUCACCCUUCUCACCAGAGCACCACCAGGUUCGAGCUGCGCUGUUUCAGACUCUGUGCUCCCCCGUUUAUAGUGUCUUAAUGGAAUUUAAACCCUCUCCUUUCUCCUUUCUCCCUUUUUAGUUCAGUCCCUGUGCCUGUUUCUACUUUACCACUUUCUCUCCAGCUGCUUUUGAGGGGGUGUUUUUCCUGUAUUCUCCCCCCCCCUUCCCCCUCCAUCCUCUGUCCACAAGCAAAAACAGCUCCCUGCCCUGCAGAGCUUCUCUUUCCCCCAGUUCACCUCUCCAUGUCAUGUACCUGCUGAGUUCUUUGGUUCAUGUUGUGCAGAUUGUUGUGUUAAUCCUCAGAUCAGUUUUCUAGGUGAGCAGGAAGGUUUAGUGUUGAUCUGGCUGUAUUUCAUGGAUCCAAGAUGCAAAAAAUACAAUUCCAUUCUGUUCCACCAUCUCGGCUCCUCCCAACCUUCUCUUUUUCUAAUGUAAUCUCAGAUAUAAUCCUCACUCCUGAACAUCACUGAAAAGUACCAGGGAAAUGUCUCUCUCCUUGCUUCCUGGUGACACCUUUGAGCAACUGUUCUCCUGCCAUCGUUUAACAACCUCUCUUUAGUCUAUGUCACUUCCAGAUCUCAGUCAGCCAUGGCCUGGAGUAAAAGAGGUGAGCAUAAGGACACAGGAUAACCCACCAUAUUUCUCCUUUCAUAGAGACACUCAGCCUCAAUCAACUGUAUCUGUUGUUUCCACACCUCCCAGUGGGGCUUUCUCUGUCUUCCUGAUCCACUUGGACAAGCCAAGGCAUCAUCUCAUAUGAUGUCUUCAUAUGAGAGUCCAAAGCAGGCUUUUUUUUUUUUAUUUCUAGAGGAUAAAUUCAGACUUAUGAAUUCUUGUAAAAUGCAGUAUUUCCUAAUCUUUAAUGGUAGAAAUUUUAGGCAACUUUCAAGAGUAAAGCCAGUGAAUUAAGGUUAAAGUGCCCAUGGUCACAUCACUGGACAAAGAUAGGCCUAGAAUUCAGACUCUAAUUCUAGCGCUCAUUCCUCUAAACCAGAAUACCUUGGAUGUGGAACCUAACUGAAGACCAUGACAUAGCCUCGGUUUACUUAGAGAAGGAAAUGUGACAAAGCAUAUGUCAUUUGUUUCUGUUUAAAUGUUCAAGUUACUCAUCUUUUUUUUAAAGUUUAUUUACUUUUGAGAGAGAGAGAGAGACAGAGCGCGAGCAGGGGAGGGCCAAGAGAGAGGGAGACAUAUAAUCCGAAGCAGGCUCCAGGCUCUGAGCUGUCAGCACAGAGCCUGACCUGGGGCUUGAACCCAUGAACCAUGAGAUCAUGACCUAAGCUGAAGUCGGAUGCAUAACUGACUGAGCCACCCAGGUGCCCCUCAAGUUCCUCAUCUUAAAGAAUCUGUUGCAUAACAGCUAACACUCAGGUUGGAUGUUUCAGGAAGAUUGUUUAGAAUGUUUUUUAAAAAAUGUGCUGGAGAUUUUCAUAGAAAUGUCUACUUUUCCUGAUAGCCUUUUAUUUCCUCAUCUUUCUCUUUCUUCUCACAUACACAUGCAAGUUUUUCUCUUCCUACUGUUUGCACAGAAACAGGAUAUGUUGAGAACAAGUUCAAAGAGGUACCUAUGUGGAAAGGUUCACAGUUGACACAAAUCAAGAAUAGAUCAGUGAAGUGGAAACCAGUGGAACAAUGUUAUUAUUGUUUAUAUUCAGGCAACAUUGGCAAAAAUACCCCGCGCACUGUGACAUGAAACUGAGCUUCUAAAUAAGCGAUAACUACUUUAGUGUAGAGCUUUACUUUCGUUAACUUGUUUACUUUAUGAUUGUAAUGCUACUUAGUAAUUUUCUGUUAAUGAACUUUCUAAGAUCAUUAGUGUAUAGUCUUAAAAUUAGGCAUGCAUCCUUGUUUUAAUAAGAGCUUGCAAUGCACAGGAGCCAGCUGUCACAUUUUCAGUUUGAAUAUAAGAAUUAUCCCACACGCCCCUACUAAAUCAGUAUUGACAUCUAUAAACAAGACUAAUAGGAGAUAUAAAAAUAAUAAAUGAUUAGCCCUGUGAAUAGGCAUGUGGAAUUACUUAUUGCUUUUCCCUGUUCUGUUUGUUAAUGUUUAUUUAUUUUUGAGAGAGAGACAGAGAGACAGACAGACAGAGAGUGGGGGGAGAGACAGAGAGAAGAGGGAGACAAAGAAUCCGAAGCAGGUUCAAGGCUCUAAGCUGUCAGCACAGAGCCAAACACAGGGCUCAAACCUACCAACCGUGAGAUCAUGACCUGAGCGGAAGUCCGACGCUUAAUUGACCUGAGAUGAAACAGGAUGCUUAACCUAAUAAGCCACCCAGGUGCCCCUCCCUGUUCUGGUUGUUAACCAGAGUUUGAUUACCUGUAAUAAACACAAGCAAAAUGUAUAUUGUUUCAUGGGAUACCAAAAAAAAAAAAAAAAAAGAAAAAAAAAGAAUGUUUCAGGCACAAUAUCCUGAGUUAACUCUCACAAUACUUCUUAGAAAAAAUGAUCAUCCCCAUUUCUAGUAAUGAAUAAGGUCAUUCCCAGGGAGGAGAAGCAAGUGGUGGAAAGAAGAUUCACACUCAUCAUCCUUACACCACACUACAGGCUUUUUCUGCAAUGCUUGCUUCCUUCCCUCCUUUUCAAAGUUGUGUGUCCUUCCUCACAACACUUCUCAUUUCCAAUUCUGAGGCAAAGCAUUUAUACAAAUACACUGAUAGACACUUGCUUACUCACGAUGGGUUAUUUCCACUGUCCUCUUUUGAGUAUUCCCAAAACUGAGGGGAAAAGGCUGCUUCCGAUCAGCCUUUUCUAGUGUUACAUAUCCUUUCCUCUCCCUCUAAUCUGAAGGAACCCCACAAACAUAUAUAUAGCACUGAAAGUCAUUCUUUUCUUUCUUCAACUAUGUUUCUCCUUUCUCCUUCCCAUUUUCUAUUCUGGCACUGGAGGAGCACUGGAAAGCACAUCCUUACAGACAUGCUCUUUUUUUUAGGGACCCUAUUUUUUAAAACAAUUAAUUGCAAAAAUACAUGAUGUAAAAUUCUUAAGCAUUCUCAAGUGUAUAGUACCUUUACUAUAUUUACAUUGUAACAGAUCUCUAGAGGUCUUCUCUCCCAAAGCUGACACCCUAUAUCCAUUGAAUAACUCCUCAUUUUACUCUCCUUCCACCCCAGUCCCUGGCAACUACCCUCCUACUUUCUGUUUCCAUAAUUUUGAGCAUCCUAGACAUCUCAUAUUUGUGACUGGCUUAUUUCACUUAGCGUGGUGUCCUCAAGGUUCAUCCAUGUUGUGGCAUGUAAUAGAAUUUCCUAAUUUCUAAAGGAUGAAUAGUAUUUGAUUAUUUAUAUUUACUACAUUUUCUUUAUUCAUCUAUCACUGGACAUUUGGCUCCUUCCACCUCUUGGCUAUUGUGAAUAAUGCUGCAAUGAAGAUGGGUGUAUAAAUAUUUUUGGGGGAUCCUGCUUUAAGUUCUUUUAGAUAUAUACCCACAGGUGGGAUUGCUGGAUCAUAUGGCAAUUCUAACAUUUAGUUUUUUGAGAACCUUCCCUACUAGGUUCCACAUAUUUGCCAAAACUUGUUAUUUUCUAUUUUUUUUUAUAUAGUGGCCAUCCUAAUGUGUCAUUGGGAUUCUGUUUUCCAUUUCUGUAAUGAUUAGUAAGUAUGCACUAUUUUUUUUAAUUUAAAAUGUUUUGGUUUUAUAAUUGAGAACAUACUAUGUGCUAGGUACUGUGUUAAGCGCUUUGUAUGCAAUAGCUUACUACUUUUAACAACCAUCCUGUGGCCUAGUGGUAUUGUGUUUGAAGAAACUGAGAAUCAGAGUUUGAGUAGUUUUCCUAAGGACAGAGAACUGCUACACAGUGAAAUCAGAAUUCAAAACCAGUUUUGAUACCAAAGCUCACAUUUCUAACAGUUGAGUUAUCUCCCUGCUUUUUGCUUUAGCUAUUAAUUCGCUAAGCCAAUUUUUGGUGAUGUAUACAGUUCUAUACAAAGGAAAGGGAGAGUCAUAUUUGUUAAGUGACUGGCUUGUGCCAGACACCACUAAAUGCUCACAGAUACGUAGGUGUGAGUGUGUUUUGGAGUGGGGUGAAAGAGGGAAGUCCUUGCAUUUUACACAUACAAGCUUUUAUUCCAUUUACAUGGUUGGCAUUGCAAGUCACAGAGUGCAAUGGAAACAAAGUUGAGUUUGUUUUCUUACCAUAGUCUUUGUAAAUUUGAAGGUCAUUUUUGCUGAUAAAUAUACUCUUAAGAAAUAUGCAGGAAUUCCAGAUAAAUUCCAAUUCCAAUUAAGGAGUUGACUGUAUCUCAUAGAGAGGGUACACAAGCAAUAAACUACAGGAAAGAAGAGUCUUAGCUAGGAUAAAAGGAAACAAAAAUAAAUGAGUACGUAAACUAGGAACUACCAGUUAGUUUAUUCUCUUGAGCACUUGCUCUGCUGCACCAGCUCUAUUUUCCCCAUGUAGAGUGCCUACAACUGCUUCCAUAUUGUCUCCCCUGUUCUACUUCACCUCAUGGUAGAAACAAAAACAGUGGGUCAAGAGGUAUUUUAGUUUUGCUAACACAGUGACAAAUUCAGAACUGAUGGGACAUUUAAGAUGACCCUAAACCCAGGAAAAUUGAGUCACGUGAAUACAUGACUCUUGACUGCCUAUGGUAACCCCCUACUACUGAAAUCUUUAGCCCAAACUUCAUUUGGUCAUGAAAAGCAUGAAGAGAAUGGGAAGCUAAAAUCAUUUCAUCUGUGCCUUACAUUUAAAACGCAUAUUAACCUCUUAUCUGGAUUGAAAUAGUUUGGGAUAUAUUACUGCAAUAUUUCAAAUUCGUAAUACCAAUUAUAAACAAAAACAUCUUUAGGUAAGAGUAUAAAUCUCCCAAUAAACUUACAAAAGAGGUGAUAAAAAUGGCUGCUGGUAUUUAUAAUAUUCGUCAAGUGCUGCUAAUGUUAUAGAAACCAAUAAGCUAGCUAGUUUUUGUAGUUAAAUAUGAUAUUGCCACAGCCUUACCCCUAAAACGCAGGGACAGUGUAAGUGCGGUAAUGUAUUUUGUGUCACAGCCUUCAGUGUAAAUCAUGAGCCAGACACAGCACGCCAUAUUAUCUCAACUUUUGUAAAUUUUAUAGAUUUAGAAUUGCUGAAUUGAAAUGAAACUACCAAGUAAAAUUAAAUGCUGUUCAUAGAUAUCCUAUACCACUGUUGGGAAUCACAGCCAUCUGUGAAAAUUAUACCCAGAUUUAUUGCUCCAACCCAUUGCAUCUGUGCUCUUUAGCAAUGUUCUUUCACUCUUUUUGCUUUCUUUCCUCUUCUCUGUGAUUUAUUAUCUCCUUCUUUCAUCUCUAUUAACAGGUCAACAUCUCUUAAUUAUACCUGAAUGAGGCUUCGUUAUAUGCUCUUCUGAAGAAAAAAUGGCUUAUGACAGUAAAUGAGAAAACAAUUCAAGAAAACAAAUGAAAGCCAUAACUUUGCUAUGUUAUUAGUACUUUAUUUCAUAUUGCUUAGUCUUAGUUCUUAAUUUUUAUGUAUUAUUCACCAGGAAGUUUGAAUAGUUAGGCUUGCAAAGCACCCCAUAACACAGUCGCAGGUUCUGUUAAUUAUUUUGGUGUUGAGAUAUAAAAGUUAAGUCUACAAUGUAAUGUAUAUUUCACAAUUUCUCAGAGUCCAUGGCUUUCACAUGAAUAUUUUUAAUGAGGCAGUUCAAUAAAAUUUUUAUAAAUGAAUUUUAGUUAACAAAAAAUUGUCCCUGUGAAAUAGAAUUGCUCUAUUGGUAUUUCUUUAUUUAUUUAUUAAAAUUUUUUUUUUUUAACAUUUAUUCAUUUUUGAGAGACAGAGUGAGACAGAGCAUGAGCAGGGGAAGGGAGAGAGAGAGGGAGACACAGAUUCUGAAGCAGGAUUCAGGUUCUGAGCUGUCAGCAAAGAGCCCAACAUGGAGCUCGAACCCAUGAACUAUGAGAUCAUGACCUGAGCUGAAGUCAGACACUUAACCCGCUGAGACACCCAGGUGCCCUGGUAUUUCUUAGUUUAUAAAUGAGAAAACAGUAGCUUAGUAAGGUUAAUGGAGAUACCCAAGUCAUAUGGGUCAUAAGUACAUGUAAUUUGGAUGUAUAAAUAUGGAUGUCAUAUUCAAAAAUCUGUGUUUGACCCAACAUAUCAUACUACUAAUGCUAUCUUAUAUUAUGUUAUUUUCACUUAAAUAUUUUGUCAUGUAAGUAUUUCUAUCAUUUAUAUGGCUAUUAUUUUUAUUAUUCAGAUAAUUCCCCACCAAGUUGAUCGAUAUUUU
rnacentral:lncRNA from 1 species